rnacentral:tRNA from 1 species
CACUAAGAAGCUUACACACAAGCACUAGCCUUUUAAGCUAGAGAGGGGCUAGUGCCCCUUAGUGA